rnacentral:rRNA from 1 species
CGUGUAGGCGGAGAUGCAAGUUGGGAGUGAAAUCCAUGGGCUCAACCCAUGAACUGCUCUCAAAACUGUAUCCCUUGAGUAUCGGAGAGGCAAGCGGAAUUCCUAGUGUAGCGGUGAAAUGCGUAGAUAUUAGGAGGAACACCAGUGGCGAAGGCGGCUUGCUGGACGACAACUGACGCUGAGGCGCGAAAGCGUGGGAGCAAACA